rnacentral:rRNA from 1 species
GUGGGGAAUCUUCCGCAAUGGACGAAAGUCUGACGGAGCAACGCCGCGUGAGUGAAGAAGGUUUUCGGAUCGUAAAGCUCUUUCGUUAGGGACGAACGUGCUCUUUGUGAAUAAUGAGGAGUAAUGACGGUACCUAAAUAAGAAGCCACGGCUAACUACGUGCCAGCAGCCGCGGUAAUACGUAGGUGGCAAGCGUUGUCCGGAAUUAUUGGGCGUAAAGCGCGCGCAGGCGGGAUAUCAAGUCUGUCUUAAAAGUGCGAGGCUCAACCUCGUGAGGGGACAGAAACUGGUAUUCUUGAGUGUCGGAGAGGAAAGUGGAAUUCCAAGUGUAGCGGUGAAAUGCGUAGAGAUUUGGAAGAACACCAGUGGCGAAGGCGACUUUCUGGACGAUGUCUGAUGCUGAGGCGCGAAAGCUAGGGGAGCGAACGGGAUUAGAAACCCGGGUAGUCC